GAAUAAAUACUACAUACUGUUAGACGGAUAGCUUGGUUAAAGUCGUGAAGAAGGACGUGGCAAGCUGCGAUAAGCUCGGGGGAUCUGCAUGCAGGAUUUGAUCCCGAGAUUUCCGAAUACGAAAACGUUUUACAUUCAGAAAUGAAAACAUACGGUGGGAAUUGAAACAUCUUAGUACCGCCAGGAAAAUAAAAUAAAUUAAUGAUUCCCUUAAUAGCAGCGAGCGAAAAGGGAACAGGGCAAACCGAAUCUGCUUUUGAAAAGAAGUGUGAGAUGUGGUGAGCAUAAAUGCCUAAGUCAACGAGUCAAAUUUGCUUGGAACAGCAAGCCUCAGAGAGUGAUAGCCUCGUAGAUGAAGUUGAUAUGGUGUUGCUCAAAGAGUAACGUGCCUUAGAUUGGACGCGUGAAUACUGCGGAAUUAACCGCAAACCCUAAAUAUAGACUUUAGUCCGAUAGCGCAAUAGUACCGCGAGGGAAAGCUGAAAAGUACUCUUAAUCGAGGGUUAAAAGACUUGAAAUCUAACAGUUACAGGUUGUUACUGGUCACUUCUCCAACGAGAAUGUGGAUUUGUAACGUACGUUUUGAAAAACGGGCCAAGGAGUUGAUCUAAGUGGCAAGGUUAAUAUAAAGAAGCCAGAGCGAAAGCAAGUCUGAAAGGGCGUUUAGUCACUUGGACCAGACCCGAAGCCGGUCGAUCUAAUCAUGAAUAGAGUGAAGUUUCCCGAAAGGGGAAUGGAGGCUCGAACCAGCGUUGUGUACAUGCACUUGGAUGAUUUGUGAUUAGGGGUGAAAAGCCUAUCUAGGCCGGCGAUGGCUGGUUCCUGCUGAAAUAUACCUCAGUAUAGUCUCAUGCACAUAUUUGCUUACGGGGUAAAGUACGGAUAAUUUUCGCAGAGGAUUUUUCCUACGGAAAAUUUUCCAACUCAGAAUCUGUAAGUUGUUUAGCAUGGGAAUCAGCGUCGGUGCGUAAGGUACCGUCGCAAGACCAGAACAAUGGAGACUGGAGUUAAGGUCCCAAAAUUCAUGUUAAGUGUAACAAAGGGAGUCUUGAAUCUGAGACAGUGGGGAUGUAGGCACAGAAGCCGCCACCAUUUAAAGAAAGCGUAACAGCUCACCCAUCGAGAUUCGAGGCACCGAAAGUGGACGGGGCUCAAACAUGAUACCGACACUUCAGGCAUGCUCUAUAAGAGUAUUGCGGUAAGCAGGCGUCUUUUUUGCGUAGAAGCUUUUCUGAGAGGAAGAGUGGAGCGAGAAGGAACGAGAAUCUUGGUAGUAGUAAGAUCAGAUCUCUCUGAGAUUCGAGAGAUGUCGAAAGAGCAAGGUUUCCUUGGCAAUAACAAUUAGCCAAGGGUUAGUCAGGACCUUAGAUGUAACUUAACUGAUUACAUUGAUGGACAACAGGUUAAUAUUCCUGUACUGGAUAAAUUCGUUUAGUGCACGAUACGCUUAGGGAUAAGGAAAAUUUCGAAAGGAAGUUUUCAUAUGGAUUUCAUGGAUUGUAAUAAUUAGAAGUGAAGGAACGUAUGAAGUGAAAAUUCCUGAUUCCUAGAGCCAGUGAAAUAAUUGUGUAUAGAAUUUAUCUACUUGUACCCAGAUUCAACACAGAUGCUCUAGCUGAGAAGGCUAAGACAUGAAGGUUUAAUUCAGUUAAGGGAACUCGGCAAAAUAGCUCCGUAACUUCGGUAGAAGGAGUGUCUAACUUUGUAUUUGAUAUUAGAAUGCAUUUUUAGAUUUCAAUAACAAGGACUGCCCGACUGUUUAGCAAAAACGUAGCCGGUUGCUAAUCCGAAAGAAUGUGUAUAACCGGUGAAACCUGCCCAGUGGUGGUGCUUCAAACCCUUUUUCAAGAGGGCUAAGACCCAUCAAACGGCGGGCCUAAUUCCUGAGGCUCUUAAGGUAGCGUAAUGCCUUGUCGUCUGAAUGGCGACGUGCAUGAAUGGUUUAACGAGGUAGUCGCUGUCCCUAACUGACAACCUCUGAACAUAUCAGUCUGGUGAAAAAACCAGAGAUAUCUAACGGGAAGCUAAGACCUUGUGGACCUUUACUGCAGCUUGUUGUUGCGUCUUUAUUGAGGAUACAUAGAAUAAGUAGGAGCGUCGAUACUAUUUUUUUGGAAAUGGUUGAGCAAAAUUGUAAUACUACUUAUCGUUAAUGAAGAUGCUUACUUGAAAGAGGACACCAGCAGGUGGGCAGUUUGGCUGGGGCGGCACCCUGCCGAAAAAAUAUCGGCAGGGCCUAAUGAUAAGCUCAUCCAGGUCGGAAAUCUGGAGUGGAGUGUAAUGGCAAAAGCUUAUCUAACUGCAUUUCUAAAAGUACGAAACGCAGAGUUGAAAGACGGGCAUAACGACCCAUUGAUGAUUUUUAAUGGAUCACAAUUUUGACAGAAAAGGUACCCCAAGGAUAACCGGGUUGUCUCACCCGAUAGUUCAUAUUGACGGUGAGGCUUGCUACGCCGCUGUCGGCUCUUCCUAUCCCGGCUGUGCAUAAGCAGCCAAGGGUGUUGGAGUUCACACGUUAAAAGGAAUCGUUAGCUGGGUUAAAAACGUCGCGAGACAGUUUGUAUGAUAUCUGUUAGAUACGUUAUUGUUUGAGUGGAAAGAAUCCGUAGUACGAGAGGAACCGGAUUUUGAUGCCUCUGAUGUACCUGUUAUUAUGAGUAGGCAGGGCAGUCACGCACUACAUGAAUAAGCGCUGAAAGCAUCUAAGCGCGAAGUCAUCCGCAAGACGAAACAAUUUAGGCCGUCGAAGAAGACGACGUUGAUAGAGUCGAUGUGUAAGAUCCAAGAACACGAGGAUUUCAGCAUGCGACUACUAAAAGCCACAAAUUUUUAUAA
rnacentral:rRNA from 1 species